AUGCUCCACCUUCAGAUGCACCCUCUCCCGCUGCCCCGCGCCGCCCCCCACCCUACCACGGCCACGCUCUCCUACUCUCUCCACCGCCGCCUCGCUCUCUCCGCCUCCGCCUCCACCACCCCAUUCUCAACCGAGGAGUACCUCGUCGCCACCUGCGGUCUCACCCGAGCCCAGGCGCUCAAGGCGUCCAAGAAGCUCUGCCACCUCAAGUCCGCCUCCAACCCAGACGCCGUGCUCGCCCUCCUCUCCGGCGUCGGCCUCUCCCGCCCGGACAUCGCCGCCGUCGUCGCCGCCGACCCGCUGCUCCUCCGGUCCAGGGUGGACAACGUCGCCCCCCGCCUCUCUGCCCUCCGCGACCGCCUCGGCCUCUCUGCGCCCGAGAUCGCCAGCUUCCUCCUGGUGGGCGCCACGGCCCUCCGCUCCUGCGACAUCACGCCCAAGCUCGAGUUCUGGAUCCCCUUCUUUGGCUCCUUGGGCAAGCUCCUCCAGACCAUGAAGAGGAACAGGUCCAUCCUGACCACCGAUCUGGAGAAGGUCGCCAAGCCCAACAUUGCGCUGCUGGAGCAGUGCGGGCUAAGUGUUUGUGAUAUUGUCAAGCUGUCGACGCCCUGUUCUAGGCUGCUAGUGUUCAACCCAGAGCGGGUGAAGGCGUUUGUGCUGCGCGCCAAGAAGCUUGGCGUGCCCCGCUCCUCGUAUAUAUUCAAGUACGCGGUGGGUGUCGCGUGUUCUAUCACGGAAGACAAGGUCGCCGCAAGGAUGGAGUUCUUGAGGAGCACUCUUGGUUGCUCCAUGGACAAGGUGCGUGUUGCGGUUCGCAACAAGCCACACAUUCUAGGAAUAUCCGAGGAGAAACUCCGUCUCAAGAUAGAGUUCAUGGUCGAUGAGGUUGGUUUGGAUCCAGACUACAUUGUUGAGAGGCCCAUGCUGUUUACCUACAGCCUGGAGAAGCGGAUGAAACCCCGGUAUUAUGUCGCAAAGAUCCUGCAGGCUAAGGGACUGAUGAAGAAAAGUGUCGGCUUCCGGCGAGUAGUUGGCUAUGGUGAGGAUAAUUUCAUUCCAACAUACAUCGACAGUCAUCAGAACAAUGUUCCUGGGCUUGCAAAUGCUUAUGCAGCAGCUUGUGCUGGGGAAAUGCUACUGAUGUCCAGCUUUGAAUGCAGACAUUGA
rnacentral:rRNA from 1 species